UGCAGUCGAGCGGACAGAUGGGAGCUUGCUCCCUGAUGUUAGCGGCGGACGGGUGAGUAACACGUGGGUAACCUGCCUGUAAGACUGGGAUAACUCCGGGAAACCGGGGCUAAUACCGGAUGGUUGUUUGAACCGCAUGGUUCAAACAUAAAAGGUGGCUUCGGCUACCACUUACAGAUGGACCCGCGGCGCAUUAGCUAGUUGGUGAGGUAAUGGCUCACCAAGGCAACGAUGCGUAGCCGACCUGAGAGGGUGAUCGGCCACACUGGGACUGAGACACGGCCCAGACUCCUACGGGAGGCAGCAGUAGGGAAUCUUCCGCAAUGGACGAAAGUCUGACGGAGCAACGCCGCGUGAGUGAUGAAGGUUUUCGGAUCGUAAAGCUCUGUUGUUAGGGAAGAACAAGUACCGUUCGAAUAGGGCGGUACCUUGACGGUACCUAACCAGAAAGCCACGGCUAACUACGUGCCAGCAGCCGCGGUAAUACGUAGGUGGCAAGCGUUGUCCGGAAUUAUUGGGCGUAAAGGGCUCGCAGGCGGUUUUCUUAAGUCUGAUGUGAAAGCCCCCGGCUCAACCGGGGAGGGUCAUUGGAAACUGGGGAACUUGAGUGCAGAAGAGGAGAGUGGAAUUCCACGUGUAGCGGUGAAAUGCGUAGAGAUGUGAGGAACACCAGUGGCGAAGGCGACUCUCUGGUCUGUAACUGACGCUGAGAGCGA
rnacentral:rRNA from 1 species